UCCGAGUGCGAGGGCAUAUAGUCCUCGCUUUUCUGUACCGUAAGGUGGUACAGGAACAAGUGCUGGGCAAGACCGGUGCCAGCCGCCGCGGUAAUACCGGCAGCACCAGUGAUGGCCGCUUUUAUUGGGCUAAAGCGUUCGUAGCCGGCCACUCAAGUUCGUCGGGAAAUCUGCCCGCUUAACGGGCAGGCGUCCGGCGAAAACUGAGUGGCUUGGGGCCGGAAGAUCCAAGGGGUACGUCCGGGGUAGGAGUGAAAUCCCGUAAUCCUGGACGGACCACCGAUGGCGAAAGCACCUUGGAAAGACGGACCCGACGGUGAGGGACGAAAGCUAGGGUCUCGAACCGGAUUAGAUACCCGGGUAGUCCUAGCCGUAAACGAUGCUCGCUAGGUGUGGCGCAGGCUACGAGCCUGCGCUGUGCCGUAGGGAAGCCGAGAAGCGAGCCGCCUGGGAAGUACGUCCGCAAGGAUGAAACUUAAAGGAAUUGGCGGGGGAGCACUACAACCGGAGGAGCCUGCGGUUUAAUUGGACUCAACGCCGGACAUCUCACCAGCACCGACAGUAGGAGUGACGGUCAGGUUGAUGACCUUACCUGACCUACUGAGAGGAGGUGCAUGGCCGCCGUCAGCUCGUACCGUGAGGCGUCCUGUUAAGUCAGGCAACGAGCGAGACCCGCAUCCCUAGUUGCCAGCAGCACGCUUGUCGUGGCUGGGUACACUAGGGAGACUGCCGCUGCUAAAGCGGAGGAAGGAACGGGCAACGGUAGGUCAGUAUGCCCCGAAUGUGCUGGGCAACACGCGGGCUACAAUGGCCAGGACAGUGGGACGCCACCCCGAGAGGGGGCGCUAAUCUCCUAACCCUGGUCGUAGUUCGGAUUGCGGACUGAAACUCGUCCGCAUGAAGCUGGAUUCGGUAGUAAUCGCGUGUCAGAAGCGCGCGGUGAAUACGUCCCUGCUCCUUGCACACACCGCCCGUCAAAGCACCCGAGUGAGGUCCGGAUGAGGCCAUCAUGCGAU
rnacentral:rRNA from 1 species